rnacentral:rRNA from 1 species
GACGAACGCUGGCGGCGCGCUUAACACAUGCAAGUCGAGCGAAGCGGCGGACGGGUGAGUAACACGUGCGUAACCUGCCUUAGACAUUGGGAUAGCCUCGGUAAACAGGGAUUAAUACCAAAUGGUCUAAGAUGGACUCGCGUCCCAUUAGAUAGUUGGUGCGGUAACGGACCACCAAGUCGACGAUGGGUAGCCGGCCUGAGAGGGGGAACGGCCACAUUGGAACUGAGAAACGGUCCAAACUCUACGGGAGGAAGCAGUGGGGAAUAUUGCACAAUGGAGGGAACUCUGAUGCAGCGACGCCGCGUGAACGAAGAAGGCUUUCGAGUCGUAAAGUUCUUUUAUAUGGGAAGCGGUACCAUAAGAAAAAGCCCCGGCUAACUACGUGCCAGCCGCCGCGGUAAUAC